CUAGAUAAGCUAGAUAAACUGAGCUAGAUUUACCUAGUCUUACUAGGUGAAAGGCAGCUGUCUGUGUUUGGAAGAAGUGCCUUUUUCACUAACCAUGGAGUUGCGUGUGUUAAAAUUCCUGAACCAAGUCUUUCUAAUUUCAAGUGUAUUGCCAUUGCAAGGAAAAUAACAAAGUUAUUGUUAACAAGUGCUUGGAAGCAGGGAGUUGUAUCCAAUGUAGCACUCCGUUAAUGGCAAUUAGCAGUGAACUUUGUUGCUCAAUAGUUUGGGCAGUGUUGGUGCACCAAGUUUCUGUUAGUGUAACUGUUGCCUUGGACUCUGGUGCAAGCAUACAGAGAGAGUUUGAUACAGCCCCAAGCACUUCAAAUGAAUAGCAUGUAGCUUAUUAGUGUACAAUAAAUAUCAUGAACGCUCUUCUGAAAAUUAGAAUUGUUCUCAGCAGACUGAAUAAAAUUUCUCCCGUCAUCACUCUGUGCGAGAUGCUCACAUGCGGUACUGUUCUGAGAGCUCACAGAAAUUGUUGCCCAUUUGAAAACCAGAAUGGUCAGUUUCUUUUAUGAAAAUAUACUUUCUUGGUUUCAUUUCUGUUUAUUUAUUGUUUUGUUCAUCUGAAGAUUCUCUGCAUGUAGGAAGCUUGCUGGAUAAAAUAAUGUCCAAAGUUCAUUGUGGCCAGCAUAACACAGCAGAAAGCGAGAGACAGUCUGGACGUGAUACAUUAUUAAGAAUAAAGUGAACGUGAACAUUAAUAAGUAUGUGUGAAAUAUGAAAAGAGGUAUGCUGUUUGUUUUAUUUUUAUUUUUUUUUAAAAGACAAAGUAGGGGUUAGGAAGAGCCUUGAAAUGAAACCUGAGGCAUUACCCUUGGAAAAAAGCAAGCUUUUUUAUAUGAUCACUUGAAUACACAGAAGAUUAAAAGGAUUUUUUAAAGGCCAUUUGUAAAGCUUAUGUGAAAUGUUUUUGCUUUGUAAUGCUUGUUCUGGGAUGCCAUUGAUCAAAGCCAUGCUAGUUAGGAAAAAGCUAAUGAAUCAUCUUUCCCCCUAAUAAUAACUUUCUAUUUCUCCCAUUCCACUCUGUUUAGAUUUUGAAAAGGCUAUUAAUGUAUAUUAUAGUGUAUCUUUCCCAAUGUAACUUUUAAUUGAGGUUGUCUUUAUUAUACCAGUACUUAUUGCCAUCUUGUUGUAACUCAUUUCCUUAUAAUUGGAUGCAUACUGUCUUGGAAAUGCAAUUUUCUCUCUGCUUGUAAAAUGCAUGCAGCAAACUAUAUUCACGAGCCCUUUCUUGGGAAUUUGUGCCUUCAUUAAAAAUAAGGAUCUAGAAUGGUUGCCUUGAGGACAAAGCUUUACACAGCUAAGAAAGCUAUGGCUAUAUGAAGGGAGUUUCUGAGCACCGGUGCCUUAAAUGCCAGAGAAUAAGAACUGGCAUGACGUGUUGAUGACCAAGGGUACGGUUUUAACUUAUUGUUAAAUUGAGGCUGAUAGUGCAGCUGAGCUCCGAAAAGAAAUAAAACAUUUCUUUUCUCCCAUCUCAAUUUCCCUCCAACUUGAGCAAACGAGUUUGUUCUCAGAGACUAUGGCAUUUUAAACAAUUUUCCAAAUUCAGUUAUAAUGGAAAUAUGUCCUCAGAGCCUAGUAUUAAGCUAACAGGCAUCCUGGAUGUGUUUGUCCUUAGAGAUAGGAGUGUGGGACGUUAAUGAUAGCUGAAUAAAUUGAGAUGUUCCAUACUUUGUCAGCAGUUACAAAACCUAGCAUAUGAUUUUGACUAACAUAAUUGCAAUGACAGAUUUGAGCAGGAAACACUUCAAUGCUGUUUAAAAUAAAAAGGUAUUUUCCUGUUUCCUGUAUCCUUGGAACCACAAAAAAUGUGAUUUCAAGUCUGCUUAUUUGGAUACAGAAACCCAAUAAUCCAAUAUGGGGGAAAUUCAGGUUCAGGUUGAUACAUGUACAAAUAAUAACUAAAUAAUUGAAUAUGUACUAGUCUCUCCCAACAUAUGUGUCAAAGAUGGCAGAGCCUGGCUGAUUGUGAUUAUCCUUUGCCUUUUCAUUUCUUAGUUUCUCCCUUAGUCCAGGCUAAAAAGGGUUUUCUACCAUUUUGGGGCCCUCCUAUAUCAAUAAAGCUGUUGCUUUCUUGGCUCUUCUAGACUGAAGAUACUUAGAGCUCCACUAUUCCAGUUUCUUUUGCUUCUGGAAACUUAGCAUCUGUACCUGUCUUGCUUUAACAUUUCAUGUCUUCUGUGCAUCCUUUAUGUUCCUUCCACACAGAAAGCAUGAAAUAGUGGUUCUUCUUGGAAAGUACCUCUUCAAUCAUUCCUAGAGGCUUCUGAGAUCUGCUUUGCCUUCCUCCGUACAGUGCUUCUCUCUUUCUCUUGUGAAGAUUUAAACAAGUACAGAAGCCCUUUUAUCUGCUUUCAGGUUCGCUGGUGAGAUGGAAGAUUGGUGGGAAAUUGCUGACCCCCACCCGUCUCCUCCCUCUCACCCCCAACUUCGCAUAGAAAAAAUGUAGUGAUGGGGAUGUAGGGUAUUACCAGAUAGUUGGCUAAUUUCACCUGCUUGCGCCACCUUCCUGCCAUCAGCUUUCCUGUUUUACCAGGAAGUUACCAGAGAGAUUUGAGUGUGUCGUUUUGCAGCUGCAAACCCUAACCUAGCAGUGGGUUUGCAUUUCUGAUUUGGAGCUGAAAAUGAUUUCUGUUUUUUUAAAAAAAUAUCUGUGCAGUCUCAGUAAAAAUUAAAAUAUUUUAAUUUGGUAAAAUAAUAAGCUAAAAAAUGAGUUUAAAUAAACAGGAAGCAAUUUCUUAGCUCCCAUAAUGAUAGAAGGCAGAAGGCAUCUUUUUUUGGACUGAAACUGUACAGAAAAAGAUAGAGGUGAGGUUGUGCAUUCUGAUUAACUUGUUGUUGUUGAUGAUGAUGA